AUAAAUGAUUACAAAGCCCAGUCGAAUUGUAAUCAAGACCCAACGUUUCAACACUUCAGUCUAGUGUCUUUGGGUCUUGAUUACAAUUCGACUGGGCUUUGUAAUUAUUUAUUU